rnacentral:lncRNA from 1 species
GGAACCCCUUCCGACCCGCCGCCCCGACACCAGCUUGGGACCACCUCUUAUCGAUUCCUGCGCCAUUUCCCGUCAUUCCUGUCAAAUCAAUAACCUGGCGGCGGCAGUAGCGGUGGCGACGGUGGGUACCAGUGGUGGUACUUGCGAUGGUAGUGGUGAUAGUGGUAGUAUGGUGGUGGAAGUACUGCUGCUGCGCUGCUGCUACCCUGCUGCUGCUGCUGCUGCUGCUGCCUGUUGCUGCUGCUGCUGUUGGUGGUGGUGGUGGUGGUUGGUGGUGGUGGUGGUUGUGGUGGUGGGUGCCGGUUCCUUCUUCGGAACGAAUCAGACGCGGCAUCGCGCUAAGAUAGGAAACCGACACCAGGGGCGCUGGUGGGUGCUUCGCCGCCACUCCUCGACAGUGAGAAAGAGAGAGAGAGAAGAGGAGUAUACGCGCCGGGUCCGUGGGAUAGAUAUCGCGGGCUGGACCAAAACCAGGUUGAAUGCUAACUCGGUCAUCGAGCAACGACUCGCAAGAGACGGCCGAGUCUGUCCGUGAAAACGCGAGCAACCACCCGAAGCUGCCGCUGUUUCUGCCGCCGCCGCCACCGCCACUGCCACCGUCGCCGCCGCUUAACGCUGCUGAUGCUGCUGAUGCUGCUGAUGCUGCUGAUGCUGAUGCAUUGCCCAUAGUUCAGCAGCCCUCGUGAUGCUGCUGCUGGUCUCCUGCUACUACUAAUGCCCGUGGAAAAAGUAGUGGGAGCCCGGCCGGGAAUUUCAAUGCACCCAGGGCUCCCCUGCCUGCCUGCCUGUCUGCCUCGUGGCACUAGAUUCGAUUGAUGGCGCGUUUGGGAAAAAAUGUGGAGAGUGAAUUUUUACGACGCGCAGCGCACAGCGACGCAAAAUUAACGGAAUGAAGUUUGUCGGUAAUUACGAUGCGCGCGCACAACGAUAUGAAAUUAACAGCGUGAAGUUAGUCGCGUCAGAGCCAGCUUGAUGUAUUGUUCACGCGUUUGAUAGAGUUCCCGAACACUAAAUUAAAUUUACAAAUGUGCAGAAGUCGCAUUAAAUCGAAAACAGUAAUCGACGAUGUAUUUUAAAGAUCUUAUUGAAAAAAGAAACACAUCUACUUCUAUAAAUUACAAAGAACUAU